rnacentral:rRNA from 1 species
CGCGUAGGCGGCUCGUUAAGUGUGAAGUGAAAUCUCCAGUGCUCAACACGGAAACUGCUUUACAUACUGGCGAGCUUGAGGAAAGCAGAGGCAACUGGAAUUCCUGGUGUAGCGGUGAAAUGCGUUGAUAUCAGGAGGAACACCCAUGGCGAAGGCAGGUUGCUGGGCUUUAUCUGACGCUGAGGCGCGAAAGCGUGGGUAGCAAACA